rnacentral:rRNA from 1 species
GGUCGCUAUGGGGUGKAGUGUCAGYCGAGCGSUAGARAGAASCUUGCUUCUCWWRARAGCGGCGGACGGGUGAGUAAUGCCUAGGAAUCUGCCUGGUAGUGGGGGAUAACGUUCGGAAACGGACGCUAAUACCGCAUACGUCCUACGGGARAAAGCAGGGGACCUUCGGGCCUUGCGCUAUCARAUGASCCUAGGUCGGAUUAGCUAGUUGGUGAGGUAAUGGCUCACCAAGGCRACRAUCCGUAACUGGUCUGARAGGAUGAUCAGUCACACUGGAACUGARACACGGUCCARACUCCUACGGGAGGCAGCAGUGGGGAAUAUUGGACAAUGGGCRAAAGCCUGAUCCASCCAUGCCGCGUGUGUGAARAAGGUCUUCGGAUUGUAAAGCAYUUUAAGUUGGGAGGAAGGGCAUUAACCUAAUACGUUAGUGUUUUGACGUUACCGACARAAUAASCACCGGCUAACUCUGUGCCAGCAGCCGCGGUAAUACAGAGGGUGCAAGCGUUAAUCGGAAUUACUGGGCGUAAAGCGCGCGUAGGUGGUUUGUUAAGUUGGAUGUGAAAUCCCCGGGCUCAACCUGGGAACUGCAUUCAAAACUGACUGACUAGAGUAUGGUAGAGGGUGGUGGAAUUUCCUGUGUAGCGGUGAAAUGCGUAGAUAUAGGAAGGAACACCAGUGGCGAAGGCGACCACCUGGACUAAUACUGACACUGAGGUGCGAAAGCGUGGGGAGCAAACAGGAUUAGAUACCCUGGUAGUCCACGCCGUAAACGAUGUCAACUAGCCGUUGGGAGCCUUGAGCUCUUAGUGGCGCAGCUAACGCAUUAAGUUGACCGCCUGGGGAGUACGGCCGCAAGGUUAAAACUCAAUGAAUUGACGGGGGCCCGCACAAGCGGUGAGCAUGUGUUUWAUUUCGAAGCAACGCGAGACCUUACCAGUCUUGACAUCAAUGACUUUCUAGAGAUAGAUUGGUGCCUUCGAGAUCAUUGAGACAGUGCUGCAUGCCUGUCGUCAGCUCGUGUCGUGGAGAUGUGGAUAGUCCGUACGAGCGCACCCUUGUUCUUAGUUACAGCACGUAUGCUGACACUCUAGGAGACKGCGUGACAUCGAGACGUGGAUGACGUCAGUCAUCAUGGCCUUACGGCUUGGACUAACACGUCUACAUUGUCGAUACAGAAGGUUUUGUCCMAAG